rnacentral:rRNA from 1 species
UACGUAGGGUGCGAGCGUUAAUCGGAAUUACUGGGCGUAAAGCGUGCGCAGGCGGCUUUGCAAGGCAGAUGUGAAAUCCCCGGGCUCAACCUGGGAACUGCAUUUGUGACUGCAAGGCUAGAGUACGGCAGAGGGGGAUGGAAUUCCGCGUGUAGCAGUGAAAUGCGUAGAUAUGCGGAGGAACACCAAUGGCGAAGGCAAUCCCCUGGGCCUGUACUGACGCUCAUGCACGAAAGCGUGGGGAGGAAACAGG